ACAAGCGGUGGAGCAUGUGGUUUAAUUCGAAGCAACGCGAAGAACCUUACCAGGUCUUGACAUCCCGAUGCUAUUUCUAGAGAUAGAAAGUUACUUCGGUACAUCGGUGACAGGUGGUGCAUGGUUGUCGUCAGCUCGUGUCGUGAGAUGUUGGGUUAAGUCCCGCAACGAGCGCAACCCUCGACCUUAGUUGCCAGCAUUCAGUUGGGCACUCUAAGGUGACUGCCGGCUAAAAGUCGGAGGAAGGUGGGGAUGACGUCAAAUCAUCAUGCCCCUUAUGACCUGGGCUACACACGUGCUACAAUGGGCGGUACAAAGGGUCGCGAACCCGCGAGGGGGAGCCAAUCCCAAAAAGCCGCUCUCAGUUCGGAUUGCAGGCUGCAACUCGCCUGCAUGAAGCCGGAAUCGCUAGUAAUCGCGGAUCAGCAUGCCGCGGUGAAUGCGUUCCCGGGCCUU
rnacentral:rRNA from 1 species